rnacentral:rRNA from 1 species
GGGUUCCUGAGUGUAGACUUCGGUCUGCUACCUCUUACCCAUGUCUUUUGAGUACCUUCGUUUCCUCGGCGGGUCCGCCCGCCGAUUGGACAACAUUCAAACCCUUUGCAGUUGCAAUCAGCGUCUGAAAAAACAUAAUAGUUACAACUUUCAACAACGGAUCUCUUGGUUCUGGCAUCGAUGAAGAACGCAGCGAAAUGCGAUAAGUAGUGUGAAUUGCAGAAUUCAGUGAAUCAUCGAAUCUUUGAACGCACAUUGCGCCCCUUGGUAUUCCAUGGGGCAUGCCUGUUCGAGCGUCAUUUGUACCUUCAAGCUCUGCUUGGUGUUGGGUGUUUGUCUCGCCUCUGCGUGUAGACUCGCCUUAAAACAAUUGGCAGCCGGCGUAUUGAUUUCGGAGCGCAGUACAUCUCGCGCUUUGCACUCAUAACGACGACGUCCAAAAGUACAUUUUUACACUCUUGACCUCGGAUCAGGUAGGGAUACCCGCUGAACUUAAGCAUAUCAAUAAGCGGAGGAGGA